UACGUAGGGGGCAAGCGUUGUCCGGAAUCAUUGGGCGUAAAGAGCGUGUAGGCGGCCCGGUAAGUCCGCUGUGAAAGUCCAGGGCUCAACCCUGGGAUGCCGGUGGAUACUGUCGGGCUCGAGUCCGGAAGAGGAGUGUGGAAUUCCGUGGUGUAGCGGUGAAAUGCGCAGAUAUCAGGAGGAACACCAAUGGCGAAGGCAGC
rnacentral:rRNA from 1 species